UCAUCAUCAGUUUGACGUUUGUGCAAAUCGUGCGUGCGAGCCGUGCGGUGUCCCUUUUCGUGUUUCAAAAGAUUGCGUGAGAAUCGGGUGGAUUUCCCAUCGAAAGAACGUUGCAUUUAUAAUCUGUGCAAAGUAAAGAUCCGCAAAAAUCAACAAAAUGUUCCGCAUGGAAUUGCCCCCGAACGAUGCCGCCGAGGAGAAGCGCAAGGUACGGAAGGCGGUCCAGUCGAAUCUGUUCGCCUUUGUUGCCCUGUGUGUCGCCAUCCGGAUCGCUCCACUGCUGUUGAACCGGCCCAGUGCGGUGUAGGGAAUCUGAUUACUAUUUAGGAGGGCAUUCGUGAAAUAAACGGCUUUAAAUAAAACACGGUUCUUAUUA